rnacentral:rRNA from 1 species
GACGAACGCUGGCGGCGUGCUUAACACAUGCAAGUCGAACGGAAAGGCCCUGCUUUUGUGGGGUGCUCGAGUGGCGAACGGGUGAGUAACACGUGAGUAACCUGCCCCUGACUUUGGGAUAACUUCAGGAAAAUGGGGCUAAUACCGGAUAGGAGCUCCUGCUGCAUGGGGGGGGUUGGAAAGUUUCGGCGGUUGGGGAUGGAUUCGCGGCUUAUCCGCUUGUUGGUGGAGUAGUGGCUUACCAAGGCUUUGACGGGUAGCCGGCCUGAGAGGGUGACCGGCCACAUUAGGACUGAGAUACGGCCCAGACGCCUACGUGAGGCAGCAGUGGGGAAUAUUGCAGAAUGGGCGGAAGCCUGAUGCAGCAACGCCGCGUGCGGGAUGACGGCCUUCGGGUGGUAAACCGCUGUCGCCGGUGACGAAGCGUGAGUGACGGUAAUGGGUAAAGAAGCACCGGCUAACUACGUG